GGGCCGGGCCGGGCCGCCCAUCGCCCGGCAGUGGAGCGAGCUGGGAUCGCGUUCUUCGUGCCCCGCCGCACUGCGGCGUCUCCUCUGCCAAGGAUGUCAAACUCACCAGAAGAAGGGCAAAACCAGAUCUGUAUCUCAUUGUGAUCUGUGUCUUGGAGCUUAAAUUUAGAUAUUUCUACUUUAUAUGGCCGACAUCUCAUAUCCUGAACACAGCCUCCAUCGAACCAGCUUUUCAAGGGCCACAAACCGGCAUCUUUGUUGGAGACUACUUCCUUAGGUUCUCUGCUCGUUUCGGUGACCUCAUCCUCUACAUCAUCUGCAGGCUCCUCUUUGAUCUGAAUUUUCAACUGCUUGGAAACACUUAAGUCUUCAGGUCAAUUCUUAUAUUAAACCACAAUCUCAAGAAUGAUUGCACUGGCGUAACUGAAGAAGCAGCAAAAAGUGGCAGCGCAGCAGUUGCAAGAAGGCAAGAACUCCUUACAACAGUUUGCCAUCAAUGCCAACACUUGACUGACCAUGUUCAGCCCUAACACACAAGUCUUCUUCGCUACUGACUGGAAAAAACCUCUUCUCUCUUUCUUCCAUGAUGUUCCAGUGACAUCAAGGAAACAGCAGGAGCAUAUCAGAAAAUCUCUCAUUGUCUGUGUUCAAGUGCCACGUACUCUUAGCAGCUGCUGGUCCUCGGGAGCAACAGUGACGGCAAGACUUCAGACCCAGGAAGGGCAAGUACAGUAGAGGCACCUGCAGCUUUCCUUGCUUCCUACAGGCCAAGAAGAGAUUUUAGACUUAAUCUUCAACAGCCUUCUAGUGAUCUCAUCAAACUAGAUUUCAGAAACCUAAGCACUGUGUAUUUGGUAUUAGAUUUAUUUUCUUUCUUCAACAAGGAUAGAAAAAGGCACCUCUACUAUUUGAAAAUUACUGCAAAAAGAAAAUCUCUACUAAGGAAAGCUCCUCACAAGGGUGAAAAAGCUGAAUCUUUGGCCCAACAAUUUAUGGAUCUCCACAGCGACCUGCCUUUGAAGUGGUAGUUCCCCUUCCCUUCCUCUGUCCCCUCCUCACAGCCCUGCAGUACCCUCCUCUUCCUUUCACCAUCUCUGCUGCUUAUUUGACCUCCCGGUAAGUUGAUUGAUUCAGCUCUCUAAAAUGAAGCAGGAAACAACACACAAG